CAACUACUCCCUCUGUCCCAAAUUUCUUGUCUUAGAUUUGUCUAGAUACGGAUGUAUCUAAUACUAAAAUGUGACUUGAUACAUCCGUAUCUAGACAAAUCUAAGACAAGAAUUUUGGGACCGAUGGAGUACUUU
rfam:Triticum aestivum genome assembly, contig: Triticum_aestivum_CS42_TGACv1_scaffold_030412_1BL